CGGGUGAGUAACGCGUGGAAAACCUGCCGUAUACUGGGGGAUAACACUUAGAAAUAGGUGCUAAUACCGCAUAAGCGCACAGCUCCGCAUGAAGUGGUGUGAAAAACUCUGGUGGUAUACGAUGGUUCCGCGUCUGAUUAGCUUGUUGGUGGGGUAAUGGCUCACCAAGGCGACGAUCAGUAGCCGGCCUGAGAGGGUGAACGGCCACAUUGGGACUGAGACACGGCCCAAACUCCUACGGAAGGCAGCAG
rnacentral:rRNA from 1 species